rnacentral:rRNA from 1 species
UACGAAGGGGGCUAGCGUUGCUCGGAAUUACUGGGCGUAAAAGCGCACGUAGGCGGAUCUUUAAGUCAGGGGUGAAAUCCUGGAGCUCAACUCCAGAACUGCCUUUGAUACUGAGGACCUUGAGUUCGGGAGAGGUGAGUGGAACUGCGAGUGUAGAGGUGAAAUUCGUAGAUAUUCGCAGGAACACCAGUGGCGAAGGCGGCUUACUGGUCCAUAACUGACGCUGAGGUGCGAAAGCGUGGGGAGCAAACAGG